CCUUUCCGUCAGCAGACCCGCGAUCCCCUUCCCCUUUCCACCGUGAGCACAAACCGAAGACCCCUGAUCCCCUUCGCUCUGAUCCCCUUCUCCUGGUUCCGUGAUCCGCACCGCCUCGCCUGCCGCCGUGAUCCGCAUCGGCACCACCUCGCCUGGCUCCGUCAUCCGCAUCGGCACCGCCUCGCCUGUCCCCGUCCACCCGCGUCGGCGAGGCCGAGCACGAGCAGCCGGACGCCCUCGCCCACAUCCUCCGCACCGAGGCCGCCGUCUCGGGCGUCUCCCGCAAGGCCGCGGCCGCGCGGCAGCAGUCCACAAACCUCUGGCCCCGCGUCGUCCUCGAGGCCCUCGACUCCACCGUCGCCGCAUGCCGCUGGGAGUCCGCCCUGGAGAUCUUCGAGCUGCUGCGGAAGCAGCACUGGUACGAGCCGAGGUCGCAGACCUACGCGCGGCUGCUGAUGAUGCUCGGCAAGUGCCGGCAGCCCGGUCCCGCCGCCGCCCUCUUCAAGGCGAUGCUCUCGGAGCGGCUCCGGCCGACGGCGGACGUGUACACGGCGCUCGUCGGCGCGUACGGCUAUAGCGGCUUUCUGGACGAGGCGCUGGCUGCCGUCGAGCAGAUGAAAGGCGCCGCCGACUGCAAGCCGGACGGGUACACCUUCUCCGUCCUCAUCAAUUCUGCGCCAAGUCGCGCCGCUUCGAUCUGAUCCCUGCUGUUCUCGACGAGAUGUCAUACCUGGGGAUCGAGUGCAAUUCGGUUAUCCACAACGCGAUAAUUGAUGGGUACGGCAAGGCUGCCAUGUUUGAGGAGAUGGAGGGUGCGCUCUCUGCCAUGCUUGAGAGUGGGAGCAAUGUGCCAGACAUUUACACGAUGAACUCUGUCAUCGGGGCAUAUGGCAACCAUGGAAGAACAGAUGAAAUGGAGAAGAGUUACAGUGAGUUUCAGCUGAUGGGUGUUGAGCCAGAUACCAAGACGUUCAACAUCAAGUCCUACGAGAAUGUGUGCUUUAACAAAGAUGCCAGAAUAUCGUAAAAAAUACAAAACAACAGAAAUGGCUGCUGCGAUUGGUAUAUGUGAGGAUAUGAAGUACAGCUUAGCACAAUGCAGAUACUUUCUUUUACCGUGGCUAUCCUUUCGAAAAUAUAUGCUUUAUGUUUUCGACAUGCGGGAAAAAAUGCUCAUCAUGAUUAACCCUAGACCUCUUGAAGAGUGGUGUAAAGACACACCAGCGCUUAUGUAUGCCAAAUACACUCUUGGACUUAGCUACAACUACAUGGCCGCAUUUAAUAAACAUAUUCCUGGAUGAGAUGAGGAUGUUUUCAAAUGGAAAUUUAAACGGACAGAAAACAUUGCAGAUGAUAUAGAUAGGUACUUAAGUAGAUUUCUCAUCCUACAAUAUAUGUCUACAUGGAAUAGACCAAAAGCCACGCAUAUUUAUACAGAUGGUACGGAGAUGCGGCGAAAUUUAUUUGUGGAUUUACUGGCACACGAAAGAAAUAGAUAUCGGACAUAUCUUCUUGUCGAUAUAAACAUUAUCUUUGUCGUAUCACGGAAAGAUCUAUAAAGUAGAGUUUGUAAGCCUAUAACGUCGUGCUCUUCAUAACUAUGUUUGAUUUCACGAACUUUGUUUCUUUAAGUCAAAUGUAACUUUAUAGUUGGUAUUUAAGUUUUAUUAUAAUAUUGUUAUCUUA